ACGGAGGAUCCAAGCGUUAUCCGGAUUUACUGGGUUUAAAGGGUGCGUAGGCGGAUUGAUAAGUCAGUGGUGAAAGCCUACAGCUUAACUGUAGAACUGCCAUUGAUACUGCCAGUCUGGAGUAUGGUUGAGGUAGCUGGAAUGUGUCAUGUAGCGGUGAAAUGCGUAGAGAUGUGGAGGAAUACCGAGGGCGAAGGCAGCUUCCUGGACUAUGACUGACGCUGAGGUGCGAAAGCGUGGGGAGCAAACAG
rnacentral:rRNA from 1 species